AGUUUGAGGAAAUAAUCUCAAAUGUAUUCUGCCCAGUGAUAUUUUUUUUAAAUGGCCGCAGUACCUUGACUGUGCUAAGGUAGCAUAAUCAAUUGGCUUCUAAUUAGAGUCUAGAAUGAAAGGAAUUAUGAGGUAAUUCUGUCUUAAAAGAUUUUUUUUUAAUUUAUUUAAAUGAUGAAAAUAUCAUUUUUUAGAAAAAAGACGAGAAGACCCUUAGAGUUUAAUUUUUUAAUUUUGUUGGGGCGACAAGUAAACAUUUUUGAACUUUACUAAUUAUUUUAAUCGAUUUUAUAAUAGGAAUAAAAAAACUACCUUAGGGAUAACAGCAUUAUAUUUUUAUAUGAUUGUGACCUCGAUGUUGGACUAGGAACUUUAUGGCUAGCCGUCAAAAAAGAUUUGUUCUGUUCGAACAAUAUUAUCCUAC
rnacentral:rRNA from 1 species